rnacentral:misc_RNA from 1 species
AAGUCGUAACAAGGUUUCCGUAGGUGAACCUGCGGAAGGAUCAUUAAUGAAGUCUGGGUUUCAAACCCUCUCUCUUCUACACACUUGUGAACUUACACUGUUGCUUUGGCAGGUCUCCAGAAGGGUUGAAACCCGGACGGUCAGGUCGAAAGGCGCCUGCCAAAGGCAUUUAUCCACCCUUUUUUAUUGUCGAUUUUUGUCUAAACAAAUUAUAAAAAAAA